UGUCGUCAGCUCGUGUCGUGAGAUGUUGGGUUAAGUCCCGCAACGAGCGCAACCCCUGCAUUCAGUUGCCAUCGGGUAAUGCCGGGCACUCUGGAAGGACUGCCAUCGACAAGAUGGAGGAAGGUGGGGAGUGACGUCAAGUCAUCAUGGCCCUUAUGUCCAGGGCGACACACGUGCUACAAUGGCCGGCACAACGGGAAGCGAGUUCGCGAGGACGAGCGGAUCCCUCAAAGCCGGUCGCAGUUCGGAUUGAAGUCUGCAACUCGACUUCAUGAAGCUGGAAUCGCUAGUAAUCGUGGAUCAGCCAAGCCGCGGUGAAUACGUUCCCGGGCCUU
rnacentral:rRNA from 1 species